UUAGCCCUAAACCUAGAUAUUUAUAUACAAAAAUAUCCGCCAGAGAACUACGAGCAAAACGCUUAAAACUCUAAGGACUUGGCGGUGCCUCAAACCCACCUAGAGGAGCCUGUUCUAUAAUCGAUAACCCACGAUCCACCCCACCAUCUCUUGCCAACCAGUCUAUAUACCACCGUCCCCAGCUUACCCUAUGAAGGAUACAAAAGCAAGUGAACCAAUAUUUAAACUAUUAACAAGUCAGGUCAAGGUGUAGCUAACCGAGAUGGAAGAAAUGGGCUACAUUUUCUACAUUAGAAAUAACUCACGGAAAGGAGACAUGAAACAGCCCAGCAAGUAGGAUUUAGCAGUAAACUGGGAGCAGAGAGCCCAAUUUAAACCGGUCCUGAGGUGCGC
rnacentral:rRNA from 1 species